rnacentral:rRNA from 1 species
GAGCGGCGAACGGGUGAGUAACACGUGAGUAACCUGCCCCUGACUNUGGGAUAAGCCCGGGAAACUGGGUCCNAAUACCGGAUACGACCACUUCUCGCAUGGGAUGGUGGUGGAAAGUUUUUUCGGUUGGGGAUGGACUCGCGGCCUAUCAGCUUGUUGGUGGGGUAAUGGCCUACCAAGGCGACGACGGGUAGCCGGCCUGAGAGGGCGACCGGCCACACUGGGACUGAGACACGGCCCAGACUCCUACGGGAGGCAGCAGUGGGGAAUAUUGCGCAAUGGGCGAAAGCCUGACGCAGCGACGCCGCGUGGGGGAUGACGGCCUUCGGGUUGUAAACCUCUUUCAGCAGGGACGAAGUUGACGUGUACCUGCAGAAGAAGCGCCGGCUAACUACGUGCCAGCAGCCGCGGUAAUACGUAGGGCGCAAGCGUUGUCCGGAAUUAUUGGGCGUAAAGAGCUCGUAGGUGGCUUGUCACGUCGGGUGUGAAAGCUUGGGGCUUAACUCCAGGUCUGCAUUCGAUACGGGCUGGCUAGAGGUAGGUAGGGGAGAACGGAAUUCCU